AUGGAGAGAUCCGAGCGUCAAGGAAAGAAGAGCAUACUAGAGAAGAGAAGGUAUGUUCUUGCAAAGAAAGAAGGAAGUAGGAGGGCCAAUGGAAGAUGUGAUCGACGGGAUCAAAUCCCUAGCGCUCUCAAUUCCCAAAAUCAGGUCUGGCAUCUCCAUCUCCUCUCUCCCCCGCCUCCUUCUCCACCUCCGGCCGCCGUCGCGGCCAGGCCGGCGUGGCUGCGCGCCAUCACGCCAUCACCAGCAUCCACCAGCGCCACCAGCAACUCCCCACGCCUCCACCAGCGCCACCAGCAACUCCCCAAGCCUCCACCAGCGCCGCCCCCACCAGUGUUGCCAGCUGCCAGCGCCCAUCUCGCGCGCCCCUUCGGACACGGGCGCGGCGGUGUCUGGCUGCCCGCACGACCCAGCACCAGCGCCUCCGCACACCAUCCAUCCAUUCGAUGCACUGCAACCCAUCCACCAUCACUACCACGAGCCCCUUGCUGCACCUCACGCCACCAAUCUAAAUCUCUUCUUCCAAAUCUUGCUAUUGUUCUUCCAAAUCUUGCUGCUAUUCAUCAUUGGUACUGCCCGCAGUUCUCUUCUCUCCAACCUUCAUCUCCUCACACCCACGCUCCUGCUCCUUCUCUCUUUCUCUCCCUGCCGCCCCACUGCUGCUCCUCUUCUCUCUCAAUGAUUGUUGCUGCUGAUGCCCGCAACCUCCUGUUGCUGCUCCUUCCACGCCCAAGCUGCUGCUCUUCUCUCAACCCCACUAACUGUGGUGUUGCAUAUUUGUGGAUCUCAUAUUUAGCCGAGUAUAGUUGCUAUUGCCUAGUCCCUGUGGAGAACUUCAACAACCCACUGUUUGGACGUUGGACUGUCUUCUUGGAAAUGGCAUUCUACUUAGAUCAUUAUGUUUAUGUGAGAAAUAGCAUGGAAAGUGUUCAAGACAUGAUAAGGCCAUUCACAUGCUCAUUGUCAGCGUGGUUACUCUCACCCUCCAGGGAUUUAGGUAUGAAGAGGAGAGCAACAAUUAUGCACCACAAUUAUUCAGCUCCUAUUCAUGUACCUCAACACUUAGAGAUAUGCCCGUUGGAGUUAAAUGGUCCUCCAUUUGGUCAACGAAUUACUCCAGCACCAAAUGAGGCGUUAGAGCAAUCUCAUGUGCAAGAACAAGAUGAUCCAGAGCUGGAAUUCCCAAGUGAUGAAGAUGAAGACAAAAGAUCUACUACUCUUGAAGAAGUAAAAGAAGUUGUUGUAGUUGAAGAUGAAGAAUUAGAGAUUCAAUUGCCUAUCAUCAUUCAAGAGUGUGAUAUUGCAGGUUUAUCUAAUCCUCUUGAUGACAUGCGUCCGUAUAAUCUAUUUGCUACUACCUUGCAUUACAUGAUACCAUCACUUAAGAUUGAUUUGAAAGCUCAUUUGCUUGGAUAUGAUGAUACAUACACUGUUGGUGGCAUUGCUCUCAUUUAUGAUGAUGACAUUUAUUCUCCUCAUGCUAGACCUAUGCUUAAUGAUAAAUAUCAUCCUCAUGUUAGUAUUGAGCUUGCUGAUUCCUAUCAUACUCGUCAUGUUCUAUAUUCCUAUGCUUAUGUAAUUGGAUACUCGAUUGACGACUUAGAGGGCUUCGACCAUAUCACUUGUAGUCGUUGUUUGCGUGAGUCAUAUUUCAGGUUUUUGCUUGUGCACGAAUCAAUAGAUGCUGACUAG
rnacentral:rRNA from 1 species